rnacentral:rRNA from 1 species
UACGUAGGGAGCAAGCGUUAUCCGGAUUUACUGGGUGUAAAGGGCGAGUAGGCGGGCUGGCAAGUUGGGAGUGAAAUCCCGGGGCUUAACCCCGGAACUGCUUUCAAAACUGCUGGUCUUGAGUGAUGGAGAGGCAGGCGGAAUUCCGUGUGUAGCGGUGAAAUGCGUAGAUAUACGGAGGAACACCAGUGGCGAAGGCGGCCGCCUGGCCUGUUGCUGACGCUGAGGCACGAAAGCAUGGGUAGCGAACAGG